AGUGAACGCUGGCGGUAGGCCUAACACAUGCAAGUCGAACGGCAGCACAGUAAGAGCUUGCUCUUACGGGUGGCGAGUGGCGGACGGGUGAGGAAUACAUCGGAAUCUACUUUUUCGUGGGGGAUAACGUAGGGAAACUUACGCUAAUACCGCAUACGACCUACGGGUGAAAGCAGGGGAUCUUCGGACCUUGCGCGAUUGAAUGAGCCGAUGUCGGAUUAGCUAGUUGGCGGGGUAAAGGCCCACCAAGGCGACGAUCCGUAGCUGGUCUGAGAGGAUGAUCAGCCACACUGGAACUGAGACACGGUCCAGACUCCUACGGGAGGCAGCAGUGGGGAAUAUUGGACAAUGGGCGCAAGCCUGAUCCGGCCAUACCGCGUGGGUGAAGAAGGCCUUCGGGUUGUAAAGCCCUUUUGUUGGGAAAGAAAAGCAGCAGGUUAAUACCCCGCUGUUCUGACGGUACCCAAAGAAUAAGUACCGGCUAACUUCGUG
rnacentral:rRNA from 1 species